rnacentral:tRNA from 1 species
GCCCCCAUCGUCUAGGGGUUAGGACACAGGGUUUUCAUCCCUGCAGCCGGGGUUCGAGUCCCCGUGGGGGUA